rnacentral:rRNA from 1 species
CGGAAUCACUGGGCGUAAAGGGCGCGUAGGCGGCUUUAUAAGUCGGGGGUGAAAGCCUGUGGCUCAACCACAGAAUUGCCUUCGAUACUGUAGAGCUUGAGACCGGAAGAGGUAAGUGGAACUGCGAGUGUAGAGGUGAAAUUCGUAGAUAUUCGCAAGAACGCCAGUGGCGAAGGCGGCUUACUGGUCCGGUUCUGACGCUGAGGCGCGAAAGCGUGGGGAGCAAACAGG